CCUACGGGUGGCAGCAGUGGGGAAUAUUGGACAAUGGGCGAAAGCCUGAUCCAGCCAUGCCGCGGGUGUGAAGAAGGCCUUCGGGUUGUAAAGCACUUUCAGUGGGGAAGAAAGCCUUGGGGCUAAUACCCUCGAGGAAGGACAUCACCCACAGAAGAAGCACCGGCUAACUCCGUGCCAGCAGCCGCGGUAAUACGGAGGGUGCGAGCGUUAAUCGGAAUUACUGGGCGUAAAGCGCGCGUAGGCGGUCUGAUAAGCCGGUUGUGAAAGCCCCGGGCUCAACCUGGGAACGGCAUCCGGAACUGUCAGGCUAGAGUGCAGGAGAGGAAGGUAGAAUUCCCGGUGUAGCGGUGAAAUGCGUAGAGAUCGGGAGGAAUACCAGUGGCGAAGGCGGCCUUCUGGACUGACACUGACGCUGAGGUGCGAAAGCGUGGGUAGCAAACAGGAUUAGAUACCCCUGUAGUC
rnacentral:rRNA from 1 species